ACCUAAGAGGCUGGAGAAGUGCUACAUGGACUGUGCCUAUCCUGGCUCCUCCUCAUCAGUGCCUUGAGCCAUGUGAAGCCCCAAGAACCAAGCCACCACCGAGGGCAUGACUGAGUGUUUGCUCCUCUCACGGACCAUACCUGAAGCACAGCGCCAAGGCUCAUCUGUAGCUUCUGCAGGUUCCUGACGCCAAAGGUCUGACCUUAAAAUGAGCAGCACACAGGGCAAGAACGGGCACUGAAGCGAGCUCCUGGCCUUCAACCCUCCACACACGGCUAUUUUGGUAACCAGAACACCGUAGUCAUGUUGGGUAAAGGAACAGAGAAGGAUUUCUCAGCGUAUUAACUCUAGCAGUGCUGGACGCUCUGUCCCUACAGGGGUUGCCUGCCUCUAUAUAAGACCCUACAUGCAGAUUUUCAGAAAUCUUUGGAUUUCUUGCAUGCAGGAGAGGCACAGCCCCAUUUUCUACAAUGCUACUGUCCUCAUCAAUGUUCAUCUGGGACCACUGCUGCUAGCUUUUGUUGCCCAGUUCCUGCCAACAGCCAGGGAACAAGCACAAGUCAACACAGAAAAUGAAUGACUAGUAGUGCCACCACAAUCCCUGGCUGUGCAGUCCUGGGAUCCUCUGCCAUCCUACUCUCUGCUUUCAGGCUGUGCUUGGAAGAAGCAACUUUCAUGGAGAAAUGUGAAUACUAUUCUGAGGUUUCUUUACAGAUGAAAUCAAUGAAGUGUCCUGAAGUCUGGUAACCACUCAAUACCAGCAGCCUAUGUGGCCAUCUGUGCUAUUACUGCUGCUUUGAACCAAUUUAUUUAGCCAUUUUGACUUUACUUGGAUGCAUUCCUUCCUGCUGCCACAGCAGGGAUACAGAAGGUUUUAAACCAUGUGGUCAUUUCCAUCCUGGAUUUCAUGAGGGGUUAUUCUUGUCGGAGUGAUGAAUCAUUCAUACAUCCUUCUACGGAUUCCAGGUUUACUCCAAAGUCUUUGGGAAUGAUGGGAAUUACUCUAUUGACGUGAAACUCUGCUUUCUACUGGAUUAUGGAAGAUGUUUGGGCAUCAGGUUUGCUGGCGAUGGCACGCUAAUGAAAUGGAGAAUUUUGUAAACACAUCAGGGAGGGAUGGAGUCUAACAGACUUGCUAUGGAGCUUACACACCGGCAAAGAAAGUGGGCAAGCUGUGCAAAGCCUCCUAAGAUAUUUUUAGGUUAAUGGAAACGUUUUGUGCAAGGGCACAAAGAUCUCUACUGUUCCUUUCCAGAAGCCAUCCCAAAGACAACCACCCUGAGAUACUGAAUUGAUGAUACAAAUGGAUUAUGUCUAGGGUUUCCCAUGAAAACCUUGUAUUGGAUAAAGCCAAACAGGCAAAAAGGUUUGGAGGGAACAAUUCAGUUUUCAUGAGGCUUCCCAACUGAAAUAGAGUUAAAGAU